CUGGAGGAAGCCGCGCAAUCACUCCGGGGGCGGGGAGAGACAGACAGCUGAGAGGAAGGAGGUGCCAUGGGCGCUCUCUCGCGAGAGGGCCGCAGAGCCGCCUUUGACGGGGGCGUGUGCCUGGAGAGCGACGCUCUUGACAAAAUUCUCAGGGAAAACUCUUCAGCUCUGGAUGUCUCCCUUUUUGUGGAUCAAACACAAAGGGCAUCAUUCUAAAAUAUAUACGGAACCAUAAAAGCCCCAAAUAGCCAAAGCAACCCUGAGCAGAAAGAACAAAGCUGGAAGCAUCACACUACCAGACUUCAAAAUUUACUACAAAGCUCUGAUACCUAAAACAACAUGGUACUGGCAUUAAAAAAAAUAGGCACAUAGACCAAUGAAACAGGAUAAUCCGGAUAUACCAACUCAUCUUUAACAAAGGUGCCAAGAACAUACAAUGAGGAAAGGAUGGUCUUUUCAAUACAUGGUGUGGGGGAAAGCUAGAUAACUAUAUGCAGAAGAAUGAAACAAGAUUCCUCUCUCUCACCAUACACAAAAA